UUUUAUUUUUUUUUUUUUUUGAAGAAAAUGAGGUAAAUGGUAAUUCCCACUUAUGCAGUUAUGCGUAUGCUUCAUCUUUCUCGUCUCAAAAUCACUGUAUUAUAUCUCUCGUAAAAAGAAAAAAAGAAAAAACCCCUCCUGUACUUCAUCUCUCUCAUCUCAAAGUUUUUCAAGUACUCAAUGACUCCAUCUUCCUCAUCACCUCCACGACUUCCUCACCUCCAUGCCUGAUUGCCUUCCUCCAUUUCACGGCCUUUGACACAUCAUCAAGUCCUGGAUUCAAUUUUUGCGAUUAAUAAGGUAGAAUGCGAAUGAAAUUUCCUCAAGAUCGAAAAUAUGCAGCCUUAAUUCAAGGAAAAUCGAAAAUUCCAGACUAAAUUUCGAACCAAUUUCAAGGGUUUCAUGCCAUAAUUCAAGCAAAAACAAAUUCGAAUCAAAUUCAAGGGACUGUAGCAGCCACUGUGACUCCUCAACCCCUUGCUCUGAAAAGGAACUCUCUCUUCCAAAGAGGCUUGCAGCCACAUAACUAUAGUCUUCCAGUGCUCCAAAAAGGGUUAUCCAUAGCACUUGUUUCAGCAGCAACUAGUGGGAGUAAAAAUAUUAUCUUGGACUGAUAAUGGUCCUCAUGAGAGGUGGAAGAAAGAAUGUUCUUGUGGAUGUGCUUGAAUCUUUAAUGCUCCUGUUGCUCUAUCACUAUUUGCCAAAAUAUUUGAAGAGGUAUGCAUUCAUAACAGAAGUAGAAGUGGCUUAGGAUGGUCAGAGAAAGCAAGAUGUUUUAGAUGCUCGAGGGUUUGCCACUGUUGCUGUAUUUGGGCGCUGUUGCUGCUGCUACAACUACUGUUGGAACAUUGUUAUUGCUUCUGCUUCUGUCUUGUUGAUUAUUACUGCUUCAAUUAUAGUGUACUCUUAAGCAUAUUUUUUUUCAUUUUUUUGGAUGAACAGUGUAUAUUUACAAGCUAUUAAUGAAAAUAUCUAAGUUUUAUGUGUAUA